rnacentral:misc_RNA from 1 species
GAGUAUCAUGCCCUCACGGGUAGAUCUCCACCCUUGAAUAACAUACCUUUGUUGCUUUGGCAGGACGCACUCGUGCCAGGGGCUUCGGCUCUUGAGUGCCUGCCGGAGGACCACAACUCUUGUUUUUAGUGAUGUCUGAGUACUAUUUAAUAAUUACAACUUUUAACAACGGAUCUCUUGGUUCU